GCCAUUUCACUUUGAAACACCAGUUUCUGUAUGCUCACCGAAGUUAAGCAACAUCGAGCAUGGUCAGUACCCAGGUGUAUGAUCACUUGGGAAUACCAAGUGCUGUAAG